CGCGUAGGCGGUGGGUUACGUCUGCCGUGAAAUCCCCCGGGCUCAACCUGGGAAUGGCGGUGGAAACGGGCUGACUAGAGUAUGGGAGAGGGUGAUGGAAUUCCAGGUGUAGCGGUGAAAUGCGUAGAGAUCUGGAGGAACAUCAGUGGCGAAGGCGGUCACCUGGCCCAAUACUGACGCUGAGGCGCGAAAGCGUGGGGAGCAAACA
rnacentral:rRNA from 1 species